UGCGUAGGAGACACCAGGUCAGCGGUGCUCAACCUGUGGGUCGCGAUCCCUUUGGGGAUCGAAGGACCCUUUCACAGGGAUCGCCUAAGACAUCCUGCAUAUCAGAUGUUACAUUACCAUUCAUAACAGUAGCAACAUUACAGCUAUGAAGCAGCAAUGGAAAUAAUUUUAUGGUUGGGGGUCACCACACAUGAGGAACUGUUUUUUAAGGGACA